GCAUUCACUUCUGCAGCACACAUACUAAAAUCAGAACAUUAUAGAGAAGACAAGCAUGGCCCCAGUGCAAGGAUGACAUGAAAAUCUGUGACACACUCCCUAUUUUU
ensembl:snRNA U6 U6 spliceosomal RNA